GCUACACAACACAUUCAAGGCCACCCUGGCCUAUAUGAGACCUGCCUCACAAAGAAAAAAAAUGAAUACCACUAAACUAUUAAUACAUGCAAAACAGGCAUGUAUGAAUAUCAAGUAGGCUGCAAGUGGACAUACUACAUGAUUCCAUUCAUAUAAAGAACUUUUUCUGGCUGAGCGUGGUGUGUGCCUUGAAUCCCAAUAUAAACCUAGAAGAAUUGAUAGAAUAGGACCAAUAGGUUGAGACCAUGACACCUUACGACAUAUGUACAAAACUUAGAAGGCCUGUUUUUUCUCCAAAUGCUGUUUUUGUGCAAUACAUUGCACCCAAAGAUCUGUGCAUAGCCAUUAAGAAACUCAAAUAAACCCCUGCUCAUCCCCAAAAGAAACCUGAAAAUUUAACAAAAAUUCACAAUUAAUUUAGUUAGGAGCUAAGCUAUUAAGGUUGGGUUUUUUUUUUUUUUUUGUUUCUUUGUUUUAUCAUUUUGUUCUUAAAAAAUGCCCUAAGACUCUUUGUACGGAAGAGGAUUUGAUUCCAAAAUUACAUUAUUAAUCCUUUCCCUACAGAUAUUUAUGUGCACAGAUAAGCUGAGCAGUGGUGGCACACACCUUUAAUCCCAGCAUCUGGGAAGCAGACUCAGGAGGACCUCUAUGAGUUCGAGGCCAGCUUGAUCUAUAGAUGCUUUCUCAUAGAUCCACUUGUACAGAUGCACAAGAACUUUAGCAAUAGGAUACGUACCUAAUACCUUAUCAAAAAUUUCCUUGAUUUCACCGAACAUUGAUGGGAAUGUCCAAGAGCACCGCACCAUCUGCUGGACCAACCACAUGAGAUCACUACAAGGCUACUCAGCUGGAGGUGGGACUCAGAUGAGGAGUAUCCACAUCGUUUGGCCCAGAAUCAAGCUGGAGGAAAAGAACUUCUCCAAGUUCAAGCCCACCUGAUCUCCCAGCUCCACCCUCAAACUGAAAAGGAAAAGCAAAAGUAGACCUAGAGAGAUGGCUCCAUGGUUAAGACCACCUGCUGCUCCUACAGAGGACUUGAGCUUGGUUCCCAGCACCCACACCGUGGCUCAAAACCAUCCAUAACUCCAGUUUCAGAAGAUCGAAUUCUCUCCUCUGGCCUCCGUGAACGCCUGUCAGACACUUGAGGCAACAACAUACGUGCAGGCCAACAGGAGUGGUAACUGCCCUCCCUGUCAGCUUCCUGAUGUGGCUGAACACACGGAUAAAUGAUAGAAGUCAUUCCUGGCAGCUCAGAAUGCUGCUUCUGCUGUGCUUCGUCCAGAGCGAUGUGCUAUUGGACAGUGCUACUGGCAAAACCACCAAUAACAGAUAACCACAUAUCCCAUUACCUUUGUUUUUCACAGUUAACAGGGCUAAGAGGGUGGGAGGAGGGCUUGUCCAAGGCACAGUGUCUAUCUGCUUAAAAGGCUUGUUGCCAAAGACUGACACAGCUACCUAGAAGCUGAAAAAAAUAUUUUCUUUUUACCUCAGUUUACUUCUCUGUGAGAUGGAUGCACAUUAAGAAGAUUAAUAGAGAUAUUGAAUUUAAGCACUUGGAACAGUA